UCGACGCUUCUUUUUCACCGGAGCUUGCUCCACCGGAAAAAGAGGAGUGGCGAACGGGUGAGUAACACGUGGGUAACCUGCCCAUCAGAAGGGGAUAACACUUGGAAACAGGUGCUAAUACCGUAUAACAAUCGAAACCGCAUGGUUUUGAUUUGAAAGGCGCUUUCGGGUGUCGCUGAUGGAUGGACCCGCGGUGCAUUAGCUAGUUGGUGAGGUAACGGCUCACCAAGGCCACGAUGCAUAGCCGACCUGAGAGGGUGAUCGGCCACAUUGGGACUGAGACACGGCCCAAACUCCUACGGGAGGCAGCAGUAGGGAAUCUUCGGCAAUGGACGAAAGUCUGACCGAGCAACGCCGCGUGAGUGAAGAAGGUUUUCGGAUCGUAAAACUCUGUUGUUAGAGAAGAACAAGGAUGAGAGUAACUGUUCAUCCCUUGACGGUAUCUAACCAGAAAGCCACGGCUAACUACGUGCCAGCAGCCGCGGUAAUACGUAGGUGGCAAGCGUUGUCCGGAUUUAUUGGGCGUAAAGCGAGCGCAGGCGGUUUCUUAAGUCUGAUGUGAAAGCCCCCGGCUCAACCGGGGAGGGUCAUUGGAAACUGGGAGACUUGAGUGCAGAAGAGGAGAGUGGAAUUCCAUGUGUAGCGGUGAAAUGCGUAGAUAUAUGGAGGAACACC
rnacentral:rRNA from 1 species